GUGUGAUGGUGGUGGUGUGUUGUAGCACCUAAAAUUUGCACCACCAUUUUUGUACAUACAUUUUCAUGUUUAGGUCAUUAGCAUUGCAUUGUCCACUGCAUAACAUUGCAUUGUCCAUUGCCAAGUCAGUCAUCAGUCAGACUGGUCAGGAGGCUCAGUUGUGCAAGCAAGCAAGUGCAUUUUCCAUGAGAUCAAAGCCCUAGGGUUGAUUCAAU
rnacentral:lncRNA from 1 species